AGCGGAGCUGAGCAGUAUAAACAGUGACUGCAGUAGAUUACAUGCCUAUUAUGAACAGUCGCGGCUUCUGAGCACUGGCAAAGCAGAGAUCAAGACUUUGCAGAACACAAUGCCGUCAGGGAGGAAGUUUCAUGGCCCAGGAAAGAAAAGGUGGUUUCUAAUGGAAAUGACAGAACUUUAGUGGAGCAUCACUGGAUCGAUAAAUCAGAGAAGCAAUGGGCCAGAUCCUCAGCUGGAGCCAGUGAAGUUUUUCCACUGACGUCCAUGGCCUUUGAAUCAGACCCCUGUUGUAAAUCCAUGGAACUCCACUGUGGUCCAGCAAAGGGUUAAUACUGCACACCCUUCCUCACGUGAGCAACCUCACUGGCCUGCGUGAAACUGUUUGCAUCAGCAAGGAUUACUCAGAGGAUGAAGCACUGGUGGGGUCAGGCCCCAAUGGACCGCUGAUACAUGUACCAGUAAGACUAUCCCUCUUCUUAGCAAUCACCCAGCCACAGAGCCACUUUAUCCGCACC